rnacentral:rRNA from 1 species
UACGUAGGGGGCAAGCGUUGUCCGGAUUCAUUGGGCGUAAAGAGCGUGUAGGCGGCCAGGUAGGUCGGUUGUGAAAACUGGAGGCUCAACCUUCAGAGGUCGACCGAAACCAUCUGGCUAGAGUCCGGGAGAGGAGAGUGGAAUUCCUGGUGUAGCGGUGGAAUGCGCAGAUAUCAGGAAGAACACCCGUGGCGAAAGCGGCUCUCUGGAACGGUACUGACGCUGAGACGCGAAAGCGUGGGGAGCGAACAGG